UACGUAGGGGGCAAGCGUUGUCCGGAUUUAUUGGGCGUAAAGAGCGUGUAGGCGGCCAGAUAGGUCCGUUGUGAAAACUGGAGGCUUAACUUCCAGCGGUCGAUGGAAACCAUCUGGCUAGAGUCCGGAAGAGGAGAGUGGAAUUCCUGGUGUAGCGGUGAAAUGCGCAGAUAUCAGGAAGAACACCCGUGGCGAAGGCGGCUCUCUGGGACGGUACUGACGCUGAGACGCGAAAGCGUGGGGAGCGAACAGG
rnacentral:rRNA from 1 species